GAUGAAGAACGUAGCGAAAUGCGAUACGUAAUGUGAAUUGCAGAAUUCAGUGAAUCAUCGAGUCUUUGAACGCACAUUGCGCCCCUUGGUAUUCCAUGGGGCAUGCCUGUUCGAGCGUCAUUUGUACCUUCAAGCUUUGCUUGGUGUUGGGUGUUUGUCUCGCCUUUGCGUGUAGACUCGCCUUAAAAUAAUUGGCAGCCGGCGUAUUGAUUUCGGAGCGCAGUACAUCUCGCGCUUUGCACUCAUAACGACAGCGUCCAAAAGUACAUUUUACACUCUUGACCUCGGAUCAGGUAGGGAUACCCGCUGAACUUAAGCAUAUCAAUAAGCGGAGGA
rnacentral:misc_RNA from 1 species